rnacentral:lncRNA from 1 species
UUUCAAUAAAUCCCAAAUAAAACAUCAUUCAAAAAAAGACUCAAGCUUCAGCAAAGAUCUCAUAUUUAUGAAUUUUUCUGCAACUCAUUCCUUCGUUCAAAAUGCAAGAUAAUAUAACUAGCAGCUAAAUUUUUUUCAUUUUUUAACGUGAAAUCGAAACAAGCAAACUAAAACAGAAGUGUUAUAGUAAAGAGAUAAAGAGCAGAACAAACAUGAGAAUGAUGCAGAUGUGUGGUAUGUUGCAAAGAAGAAAGAGGUGGUGUACGGUUGACUGUGCUUGGCGAUGGUUGUCGAUGGAGGUUGAAAUAACGGUAAUGCCCUCUGUUUUUCGUUUUCUAUUUGAAAUAUAUGAUUUUGAGGAUAUAAUUAGAUUGUUAUUUUUCUUUGUUCAACUUCAUUUUUGAUUCAAAAUCUCUCUUUUUCUAUUUUUUCUACUCAGCCAGAAAUUUACUCACCCCUAUUUCACUCUAAUGUUUUUGUUACUGAAAAAACCCUCCUCCCUUCUAAAUUGAUUUUUUCCUUAAUUUAUAAACCACAAGUUUGAAUAUUUGCAUCUAUGAGAUAAACUGAUGUCUGAUUUUUAUGUUGAUUUGACAGAAAUUAUGGAACUGCAAAGAUGAAAAUGGAAAAGGGUGGCUGGCCUUUCUGAUUGAGUAUACAAAGAGUGAAAAUAUAAUCUUAUUGGGAUAAAAAUAAAAAAUUAAGAUGGAGAUGGCUUGCUUGCAGGAGAGAAGAAAGAGACAUAAGCAAAUUUGGCAAGCAAAAAAGAAAUAAAAAAAUGAUAAUUUUUUACUUAAAUAAUAAUAAAUGCA